GGCCUCGCGCCGUGGGACGGCGUCGCUCCCCGCCGGCUGCCGUUAGGGCUGGGAGCCGGCUGGGCGCGGGGGUAGUGAGGGUGCCUCUCGCCGUGGCUGCGCGGCGGCCUCGUCCGAGAGGCCGGCGCCGGGGCAGUGACCGGCCCGUGCCCAGCCGCCGCGCAGGGCGCCCGGGGCAGCUGGCCGAGCCCUCGAUGCCUCCCGUCUGACGGAGGCGCCCGGGAAGCGCCGCCCACCUCGGCCCCGCACCCUCGCCGGCCUGCCGGGUCUCCGCCAGCCCUAGCAGACAGAGAGGGGCGCCGGUCCCUAGUCCCCCAGACCUCCAUUCAAGGUCAAAACUUUGCCCAGCUCAGCCUUGCUCGACCCUGGGCAGGGAAGCGCGGACAUCGGCAGAGGGAGCCCGAGGCUCUCCGUGCCCUUCGCGCCGCUCCCCAAGGAUGGAUAACACUAACAUAUAGUCAGUGGGAAAGAAAUCUCAGAAAAUAACUGUUAGUUUGUCACUGUCAUGGGAAAUGGGAAGGAAGAAAAACAGCACUUAUCAAGCAUCUUCUGUGUACAAACUGCCAUUUCAGACUCAGAGCAGUCCUUGAAGGUCAAGAACUGUGGAAUCUUUCAGAUGAUAUUCUGAUACUUCUGGACCAAGAUUGAAUUUGUUCUUCAUGAAAAAUGUCUGGGACCUUUUAUAUGGACGGGGAAUACCAACGUAGAGAUGGUCAAGAAAAUUUGCGCUCCGACCUAAACCAAGCACGUUGUAUGGUAGUUGGAGAGCUAAAUGUGCGGAUUGGCUGAGUUGGCCAGCUAGAGUUAUUCAAUUAAAAAAAAAUUAAAAACAUCUCUGGAAACAUUGCUCCCAUCAAAUAUUAAAAUGAUAAAAUGUUAAA